rnacentral:rRNA from 1 species
UACAGAGGUCUCAAGCGUUGUUCGGAUUCAUUGGGCGUAAAGGGCGCGUAGGCGGUGGGGUAAGUCUGGUGUGAAAUCUCGGAGCUCAACUUCGAAAUUGCACUGGAUACUGCUCUGCUAGAGGGCUGGAGAGGAGAUCGGAAUUCACGGUGUAGCAGUGAAAUGCGUAGAUAUCGUGAGGAAGACCAGUGGCGAAGGCGGAUCUCUGGACAGCUCCUGACGCUGAGGCGCGAAGGCUAGGGGAGCAAACAGG